AGAGUUUGAUCCUGGCUCAGGAUGAACGCUGGCGGCAUGCCUAAUACAUGCAAGUCGAACGAGAGGAAGGAAAGCUUGCUUUUCCGAAUCUAGUGGCGAACGGGUGAGUAACACGUAGGUAACCUGCCCAUGUGCCCGGCAUAACUUCUGGAAACGGAUGCUAAAACCGGAUAGGUAGCAGACAAGCAUUUGACUGCUAUUAAAGUGGCUAAGGCCAUGAACAUGGAUGGACCUGCGGUGCAUUAGCUAGUUGGUGAGGUAACGGCCCACCAAGGCGACGAUGCAUAGCCGGCCUGAGAGGGCGGACGGCCACAUUGGGACUGAGACACGGCCCAAACUCCUACGGGAGGCAGCAGUAGGGAAUUUUCGUCAAUGGGGGGAACCCUGAACGAGCAAUGCCGCGUGAGUGAGGAAGGUCUUCGGAUCGUAAAGCUCUGCUGUAAGAGAAAAACGACAUUCAUAGGGAAUGAUGAGUGAGUGAUGGUAUCUUACCAGAAAGUCACGGCUAACUACGUGCCAGCAGCCGCGGUAAUACGUAGGUGGCGAGCGUUAUCCGGAAUGAUUGGGCGUAAAGGGUGCGUAGGUGGCAGAACAAGUCUGGAGUAAAAGGUAUGGGCUCAACCCGUACUGGCUCUGGAAACUGUUCAGCUAGAGAACAGAAGAGGACGGCGGAACUCCAUGUGUAGCGGUAAAAUGCGUAGAUAUAUGGAAGAACACCGGUGGCGAAGGCGGCCGUCUGGUCUGUUGCUGACACUGAAGCACGAAAGUGUGGGGAGCAAAAUAGGAUUAGAUACCCUAGUAGUCCACGCCGUAAACGAUGAGAACUAGGUGUUGGGGGAAUAACUCAGUGCCGCAG
rnacentral:rRNA from 1 species